rnacentral:lncRNA from 13 species
GCUUUAGUAAGUGUGAAGCAGUGCCUGGAGGUUAAUGCCAACUGUGUGGUGUGUGUAGUGACAGUGUGUUUUACACUCCAGGCAUGUGUGUGUGUGUGUGUGUGUGUGUGUGUGUGUGUGUGUGUGUGUGUGUGUUGUGCCGGCUUGUUUGUUUGUCAUGAGAGUGACACACCAUGAUGCUGAUAAUGUCUCCAGGGUUGAACCUUCCUCUCUGUUGUAUCUGCAGUCUAUCCACUAGGUUUGGUUAAUGACUCCAGGGUUGAACCUUCCUCUCUGUUGUAUCUGCAGUCUAUCCACUAGGUUUGGUUAAUGACUCCAGGGUUGAACCUUCCUCUGUUUUAUCUGCAGUCUAUCCACUAGGUUUGGUUAAUGACUCCAGGGUUGAACCUUCCUCUGUUUUAUCUGCAGUCUAUCCACUAGGUUUGGUUAAUGACUCCAGGGUUGAACCUUCCUCUGUUGUAUCUGCAGUCUAUCCACUAGGUUUGAUAAUGUGCUGCAUGUUGCUGUUGUGACUGUUUUUUUUGUUUAAUAAACAAGAAGAAGGAAAAACCCCAUCUGCUUGGUCUCUGAUCAAUGUGUCACAGGCUGUUUACCAAAUCUACUGUGUGUGUUAGAGGCUGGCCUCUUGGAAUGGCAUGCUGGUUAUACUCUGAAUAACAGGCUGAUGGUCAGAAUAAUCUGGUUAUCCCUUCCCAAGGCUGAUCAGGCUGAGUAAAGCAGGCCAGGCACACUGCCGUCUGAUCACACACGCCUAGAGACGUCAGGAAACACCGUAUAGACUUGGAGUCAGUCGACACCAUGACAACUGGAACACAGUGGGAGACGACAGUGUUCUAAUCGUUCCACUGUCUAUUGAAACCAGGCUUGUGGUCAAUUUGAAUUAAAGACAGUCAAUUCAGUGAAGUUGAUUUAUAUCUAAAAUUUAAACGAAAUAAAUGUAAAAAAAAAAAUAGCUUUUUACUUUUCAGUUCAUUGCGAAUUCAUUCAAAAUAGUUACCCUUUUUUCCAAUUAUUGGAUUGGAAUUUCAAUUUACUUCCUGACUUGACUGCCAUCAAUUCAAAUUGCCCCCAACCCUGAACGAAAUGGUGUCACAGUCCACUACAGCUCCUGCACUGUGUGUAGGCUCAGUACAAUGCUUACUAUUGGACAACUGGAAGUUCUACCAACACAUUGACUGUCGCUCUUAGAAAACAUUGGACCACAACUACUGAACCCCCGC